GAUGAACGCUGGCGGCGUGCCUAAUACAUGCAAGUCGAGCGAACUGAUUAGAAGCUUGCUUCUAUGACGUUAGCGGCGGACGGGUGAGUAACACGUGGGCAACCUGCCUGUAAGACCGGGAUAACUUCGGGAAACCGAAGCUAAUACCGGAUAGGAUCUUCUCCUUCAUGGGAGAUGAUUGAAAGAUGGUUUCGGCUAUCACUUACAGAUGGGCCCGCGGUGCAUUAGCUAGUUGGUGAGGUAACGGCUCACCAAGGCAACGAUGCAUAGCCGACCGGAGAGGGUGAUCGGCCACACUGGGACUGAGACACGGCCCAGACUCCUACGGGAGGCAGCAGUAGGGAAUCUUCCGCAAUGGACGAAAGUCUGACGGAGCAACGCCGCGUGAGUGAUGAAGGCUUUCGGGUCGUAAAACUCUGUUGUUAGGGAAGAACAAGUACAAGAGUAACUGCUUGUACCUUGACGGUACCUAACCAGAAAGCCACGGCUAACUACGUGCCAGCCGCCGCCGUAA
rnacentral:rRNA from 1 species